GAUGAACGCUGGCGGCGUGCUUAACACAUGCAAGUCGAGCGAAGCGCUUAAGCUUGAUUCUUCGGAUGAAGACUUUUGUGACUGAGCGGCGACGGGUGAGUAACGCGUGGGUAACCUGCCUCAUACAGGGGGAUAACAGUUAGAAAUGACUGCUAAUACCGCAUAAGACCACAGGAUCGCAUGAUCCGGUGGUAAAAACUCCGGUGGUAUGAGAUGGACCCGCGUCUGAUUAGCUAGUUGGUGGGGUAACGGCCCACCAAGGCGACGAUCAGUAGCCGGCCUGAGAGGGUGAACGGCCACAUUGGGACUGAGACACGGCCCAG
rnacentral:rRNA from 1 species